GCCAGUGUGGCAUAAUGGUUUUAGUAUUGGACCAUAGAUUCAAUUUCUGGGGUUCAAUUCCCCAGCUCAGCCA